rnacentral:lncRNA from 14 species
GUGCUGUUCAUCCCACCUGUCUUUCCCAGCCUUCAUCUUAUGGGCUGUGGGUAGAAAAGCAGCGGAAAAGAUGGAUGAUCCUCCGAAGAUGGACGAUCCUCCGAUGAAACGACGACCAGAUGACAAUGCGGACGACAACCAUCAUCCCCCUCAUUCCAAGAGGACAAGGAAGGACCAGACCGAACAGGAUCCUUGUGCUAUAGAGUCGACAAGCAGUGACAAUAGAAGGAACCAAACCAACAUCAAUAAUCCUAACCGUGAGAGAGUGCCAGAGAACAGCUUAAACCAGAGCACUGCUGAACUAGACUCCAAUAUCCCUGAGUUCUCCCAAGAGGAGGACUAUGAAGUGUGCCAAGACCAAGAUCCUUACUCGCAUAUUAACAACAUCUUGAAGGAGGCUCAUUUC